AGAUACAUCUAGCACAUGUUUACAUAUGUGAGAGUGACAACACACACAUCUAUUCUACACCAUUUAUCCUACUACACUAGUCAACAAGUUUGGAAGCUAGCUAUUUUGGUGAUGGAGCCAAAGGAUCUCUAGAGGAGCAUCUUCUUUCUUUCUCCCUCACUCUCUUUCUCGAUUAGGGAGCAGCCACAAGACUCCAAAGCUGCAGCCAUGUACUUGAAAAUUAACACAAGAAUAAGGGUUAGAAGAUGACUCACAAAUAAAAAGGAAGGGAGGCACAAGCUCAUUUAAGAAAGAGAAGUAGUAGAGCUUGAGAUCAGCCCCUUUUUGGCACAUUCUCAACUAGCAUCAAUGAGGAAUCAAGACAAAUGAGCAUGGUAGAAUGAGCCUCUGCACAAGCCCAAUAUAGACACAAGUCAAAUCCUCUUCUUCCCAUCGUUCAAGGCUGAGGAAACAGCCAAGAGAGACAGCCACACACACACCACCAAAGUAGUAAGAAUAACAUGAACAUGAAGCUCAAAAGAGGUAGAGCUGACAGCCCCAAAAUAGGAGCCUUUGCCUCCAAGUCUCAAGCACAAACAGCCAAGAAUAGAGCCUAUAUAAGCAGCCUCAUCUCCCUUCUCCUCCCCUCAUUUUCGACACAUAAUUUUCACCAAAUAAUUCAAGAGUGCAGCAAGGAGUGGAGGAGGAGCAAGGAGGAGUUUUGAGGCAGGACAUCAGUCCCACCCGAGAGGAAUCAUCGAGCUAGUCCUACAUGUAUUUAUAAAUGUGCAGGUUGAACGUCAAGAGGAUGGAGAAAUGAUCGGAGUCGAUGCUACUAAAUAAUCUAGUGGAUCUUUUCACGAUUCGUGUCUUCAUACACGAUGUCGCCUUGUAUGGACUUAUUCCGCUGCUCUUUUGUGAAGUGAGACAUCUUAGAAUCUCGCCAUUGGACUCUGAUUUAUUGAUGUAAUAUUUAUUCUAGUUCUAAGACCAUGUAAUGGUACAUUUGGCUUCUAUUCUAUGAUAUGAAUCGACUUGGCCCUUGGGCAUAUUCACAAA